ensembl:snRNA U6 U6 spliceosomal RNA
UUGCUUCGGCAGCACAUAUACAACGAUUGGGACAGUACAGAGAAGCUUAGCAUGGCCCCCUGUGCAAGGAUGACCUGCAAAUCGGUGAAGUCUUCCAUGUUUUU